rnacentral:rRNA from 1 species
GACGAACGCUGGCGGCGUGCUUAACACAUGCAAGUCGAACGGAAAGGCCCUGCUUUUGUGGGGUGCUCGAGUGGCGAACGGGUGAGUAACACGUGAGUAACCUGCCCUUGACUUUGGGAUAACUUCAGGAAACUGGGGCUAAUACCGGAUAGGAGCUCCUGCUGCAUGGUGGGGGUUGGAAAGUUUCGGCGGUUGGGGAUGGACUCGCGGCUUAUCAGCUUGUUGGUGGGGUAGUGGCUUACCAAGGCUUUGACGGGUAGCCGGCCUGAGUGGGUGACCGGCCACAUUGGGCCUGAGGUACGGCCCAGAGUCCUCCGGGAGGCAGCAGUGGGGAAUAUUGCACAAUGGGCGGGAGCCUGAUGCAGCAACGCCGCGUGCGGGAUGACGGCCUUCGGGUUGUAAACCGCUUUCGCCUGUGACGAAGCGUGAGUGACGGUAAUGGGUAAAGAAGCACCGGCUAACUACGUG